GAUGAAGAACGUAGCGAAAUGCGAUAAGUAAUGUGAAUUGCAGAAUUCAGUGAAUCAUCGAAUCUUUGAACGCACAUUGCGCCCGCCAGUAUUCUGGCGGGCAUGCCUGUUCGAGCGUCAUUACAACCCUCAGGCCCCCGGGCCUGGCGUUGGGGAUCGGCGGAGCCCCCCGUGGGCACACGCCGUCCCCCAAGUGCAGUGGCGGUCCCGCCGCAGCUUCCAUCGCGUAGUAGCUAACACCUCGCGACUGGAGAGCGGCGCGGCCACGCCGUAAAACACCCAACUCUUCUGAAGUUGACCUCGAAUCAGGUAGGAAUACCCGCUGAACUUAAGCAUAUCAAUAAGCGGAGGA
rnacentral:misc_RNA from 1 species